CCAGUCGCCCGUCCCUCGGAAAUGUUCCUGUGAAGGUCACCGGCCUGGCCUCCGGCGGAACGGGUGUGCGCAUCCCUUGGACGCGACGAUUGCUUCUAGUGUGACCUUCGGCACGCAAAGAUGUGGCAUCACGAUUACCUUGAGUGGCCCUUCCGUAGCACCAGCAAGUUCCUGCACGCCGAAUGGACUCGGGCGGUUCAGCACGGUGAAGCCCACAAGGCCAAGGUUGAAGCAAUCAGCAAAGUCUCGCCAGUCGCUCGUCCCGGACUAUGUGUGCUCUGUUGAGGGGCGGCCCGGCCUCACAGUAUAGAUGGGUAGUUGCUGGGGCCCUCGGACGGCCAUGGCUUCUCGUGUGGGACCGGUUUGCAGGAGGCUGUGGGCUAGGGUUGCUAAUGGGCUAGCCGAGCACAGAAGGGACAUAGUGUCCAAGCAUCCGGUUUUUCUGAGGCGGUUGAACAUGGGUGAGGCCAGCCGGUAGUGGUUAAGCCAUGGGCAUCGUCUGCAGUCGAUUCGUCUCCUCGGAAAGGUGCUUCAUGAGGUUGCCGGCCUGGCC